ensembl:lncRNA
GUUUUGGCUCAGUGUCUUUGAGUCCCAGUGAUACCAAGAGGCUGCGAUUUGUGNUUUUGCAGUUCUGUUCGCGGAGACAGACGUGAUGACCUUUGAACUGCUGACAGCUCCGUCCUAGAUCGCACCUAAAAGUCAUUUUUAAUUAAGAGGAUCCCCGCUGGGGUUUAGGGAUCCACCUUUUACUUUUUCCCAGUCCGGGCAUGCGUGUGACGUCCCUCCCCCUGUCACCCUCCCACUUCCCCUGAAGUCCUGCGAUUAUUUCUCUUCCUGUUUCUUGCACAAAUCGCUGCUUCGCGUUGCUCUUNCUUCAAAAACUUUGCUUCGCUGCAAUGGCCGGGAGCAGUGCUCUAGCUCAGCCCAGGAACGCCGGCUGGGUCUCGUGGAGGGCAGAUGAGACUAUGGACCUUCUCGANAUCUGGGGGGAAAGGAAGAUUCAAGAGCAGCUGCGCAGCAGCCACCGAAACCUGGAUACUUUUGCCUGUGUGGCCCGUGAAAUGGCUGCCCGAGGGCAUCGCCGGACUGCCGUGGAGUGCCGCUCGAAGACCAAGGUGCUUCGUUUGGAAUACAAACGUGUCAUCACGCACAAUGCCCGCUCUGGGAAUAACAGGAAAACUUGCCCUUUCUUCAACCAGCUUCACCGCAUCCUCAGGGGUGAUGCAAGCGUGAAGCCGAAGAGAGUGGCACGGAGUCUGGAUUUCCCUCGUGCACAGCCAGCAGUAGGAGGAGGAGGGGGAGGAGGAGGAGGAGAGGGAUAUUCUUCACCAACCCCACAUCCCAAGGAGAUGUUUAUGCUCGGCCUGGAGCCCAUGAAGGAUGUGCAAGAGUACUUUGGAGAAAAUGCAGUCAAUGGAUGUUCCGCAUCCAGCAAUGUGCAGGAAAACCACGAUGUGCAGAACGAGAUCCCGCAAGAGUCGUCUGAGAUUAUUUUGCCGUGCAAAGUUGAAGAGGAUGACCCAGCAGUAACUGAUACAGAUGAAACUGUGAAUGUACCGCAAGUCAACCCAGAAGAGCCUAUGAAUCCCACUGAGCCUGCCAUAGUUAAUCCACAGCCCACGUUGUCCCCCGUGACACGGCUGGCACAGCUGCACACUAAGAAGAAAAGGGGGGAACGGGCAGAGGCCAUGUUCAANAUGUUUCUUGAACAUGCGCGAGAGGAAAAUGCACAGGCCAGACUGGAUCACCAGAGGGAGAAGGACGAAUUCCUCUCUGUCAUGAAAGAAGACUCUGCUGUAAUGCAGCAGAUACUGGUAGCAAUACAGACAGAAUGUACAGAGAGCACCAGAGACAGGAAGCAGUAUAUUGACUCGAUGAACAGAAACUACACAGUUCUGACAUCUAUAGCCAACAGUUUGGACAGACUGACUGCUGCAAUGCAGGCAUCUACUGUGCCGGCAUCUACUAACGUCUGUUCCUGUCAAAGUGCCGAUAGGCAAAAUGGAAAUGUGCAGACAUCAAAAACGCAGCACUGGAGCAGGAGCGAAACAGUUGCCCUCCUUAUCAACAUUAAAAACAGUGAGGGGGUUGCCCUCCUGUUCGGAAGUACCUCGUGCCGCAGCAAGAGAUACUGGCGGCAGAUUCAGCGUUCAAUGUGUAGCCUUGGCUACAGCAGGACUGAGGAGCAACUCGUAUCCAAAUGGAAGUGCCUCAAGAACGACUUUAUAAUGCAGGGUGAGGCCGCAGCCAGGGGAGUCGUGCAGCCAGAAAAUCCUCCAGAGUUCUAUGAAAGAGUGAAGCAGGUCUGGGUGGCAGCUGGACAGCCACACUUCCAGGACAGCCACAUGCCUGAGAUACACCGAAGGCAGCUUCUGAGGGAACAGCAUAGGAGGCAGCAGGAGGAGGAAUAUGAUGAUGAAGAGGAGGAGGAAGAUGAUGAUGAUGAAGAAUAUGAAUAUGAAUAUGAGGUGGAAGAGGAGGANGAAGAGGAGGAGGAGGAACCUGGAGAUGGAGAUGGACUAGAAAGUCAAGUUAUGGUGAAAGAGCAGGGAAGGACACAAGAGAAACAUCAGCAAGAGGGGGCCAUAAUUCUUAACAAAUCUCCAACACAUCAAUUAGGCACAGUCAUCCAGGAUCCCAGAGAACUGAGCAGCCAAUAGUCACUGAAGAGUGAAGAGCUUGGAAAAUAAAUUGGACAUUCCCCUGAGGAGAUAUUUUGUU